GACGAACGCUGGCGGCGUGCUUAACACAUGCAAGUCGAACGGUAAGGCCCUUCGGGGUACACGAGUGGCGAACGGGUGAGUAACACGUGGGUGAUCUGCCCUGCACUUCGGGAUAAGCUUGGGAAACUGGGUCUAAUACCGGAUAGGACCACGGUCUGCAUGGAUUGUGGUGGAAAGCUUUUGCGGUGUGGGAUGGGCCCGCGGCCUAUCAGCUUGUUGGUGGGGUGAUGGCCUACCAAGGCGACGACGGGUAGCCGGCCUGAGAGGGUGUCCGGCCACACUGGGACUGAGAUACGGCCCAGACUCCUACGGGAGGCAGCAGUGGGGAAUAUUGCACAAUGGGCGCAAGCCUGAUGCAGCGACGCCGCGUGGGGGAUGACGGCCUUCGGUUGUAACCGUCUUUCAGCAGGGACGAAGGGUGGACUGACGGUACCUGUAGAGAAG
rnacentral:rRNA from 1 species